UAUAUACCUACCUAUCAAAUCUACCCAACAUUACACUCAGAGUUAUAAUACUCAUCUGAUUACUCUAUUUGUUGAAAAUGUUUUCAAAAGGAACUUAUAGCAAAAUGAUUGCAGUAUCAUUUUUCCUUUUAACACUCGCUACUGUUUUAAAUGGAGCACCUAAUGGAAAAGAAAAAAGUGGAAGUCAUAAGAGCUACGUUAGUUGUAAUAGUG